GACAGAGUAGGACCCUCUGCGUGAAGUGCUGCCAAAAUGGGGAGUUGUCUGGCAGACGAAGGAGUUUCUCCGCGAUAGAAGGUCCGCACCCGCUGUU
rfam:Firmicutes bacterium CAG:137 genomic scaffold, scf258